rnacentral:rRNA from 1 species
GAACGGGUGCGUAACGCGUAUGCAACUUACCUUUUACUAGAGAAUAGCCAAGAGAAAUUUUGAUUAAUGCUCUAUGUUCUUAUUUACUCGCAUGAGUAAAUAAGCAAAGCUCCGGCGGUAAAAGAUGGGCAUGCGUCCUAUUAGCUUGUAGGUGAGGUAAUGGCUCACCUAAGCUCCGAUAGGUAGGGGUCCUGAGAGGGAGAUCCCCCACACUGGUACUGAGACACGGACCAGACUUCUACGGAAGGCAGCAGUAAGGAAUAUUGGACAAUGGAGGCAACUCUGAUCCAGCCAUGCCGCGUGAAGGAAGACGGCCUUAUGGGUUGUAAAC